rnacentral:tRNA from 1 species
GAAGGGGUGGCAGAGCGGUUAUGCGCGGCGCCCGGAAAUCGUCGUUACGCCGGUUCGAAUCCGGCCCCCUUCU